rnacentral:rRNA from 1 species
AGAGUUUGAUCCUGGCUCAGGAUGAACGCUGGCGGCGUGCCUAAUACAUGCAAGUCGAACGAGGUGCUUUUGUAGCAAUACGAAAGUAUCCUAGUGGCGAACGGGUGAGUAACGCGUGGGUGACCUGCCCCAAAGUGUGGGAUAACAGUCCGAAAGGAUUGCUAAUACCUCAUGUGGUCUCCGGGUUUAGAAACCGGCGACUAAAGCAGCAAUGCGCUUUGGGAGGGACCUGCGUCCCAUCAGCUAGUUGGUAAGGUAACGGCUUACCAAGGCGACGACGGGUAGGGGACCUGAGAGGGUGGCCCCCCACAAUGGAACUGAAACACGGUCCAUACACCUACGGGUGGCAGCAGUAGGGAAUAUUGCACAAUGGGCGAAAGCCUGAUGCAGCAACGCCGCGUGCGCGAAGAAGGUCUUCGGAUCGUAAAGCGCUUUUCUGGGAGAUGAGAAAGGACAGUAUCCCAGGAAUAAGUCUCGGCUAACUACGUGCCAGCAGCCGC